rnacentral:rRNA from 1 species
GAUGAACGCUGGCGGCGUGCUUAACACAUGCAAGUCGAACGGAAAGGCUCCUGCUUGCAGGGGUACUCGAGUGGCGAACGGGUGAGUAACACGUGGGUGAUCUGCCCUGCACUUCGGGAUAAGCCUGGGAAACUGGGUCUAAUACCGGAUAGGACGAUGGUUUGGAUGCCAUUGUGGAAAGUUUUUCGGUGUGGGAUGAGCUCGCGGCCUAUCAGCUUGUUGGUGGGGUAAUGGCCUACCAAGGCGUCGACGGGUAGCCGGCCUGAGAGGGUGUACGGCCACAUUGGGACUGAGGUACGGCCCAGACUCCUACGGGAGGCAGCAGUGGGGAAUAUUGCACAAUGGGCGCAAGCCUGAUGCAGCGACGCCGGGUGGGGGAUGACGGCCUUCGGGUUGUAAACUCCUUUCGCUAGGGACGAAGCGCAAGUGACGGUACCUGGAGAAGAAGCACCGGCUAACUACGUG